GAUGAACGCUAGCGGCAGGCUUAACACAUGCAAGUCGAGGGGUAUGCCGAUUUAUCGGCAGAGACCGGCGCACGGGUGCGUAACGCGUAUGCAAUCUACCUUUCACAGAGGGAUAGCCCCAGAGAAAUUUGGAUUAAUACCUCAUAGUAUAGCAGUUUCGCAUGAAACCACUAUUAAAGUUCCAACGGUGAAAGAUGAGCAUGCGUCCCAUUAGCCAGAUGGUAAGGUAACGGCUUACCAUGGCUACGAUGGGUAGGGGUCCUGAGAGGGAGAU
rnacentral:rRNA from 1 species